rnacentral:snRNA from 1 species
GUUCAUUCCUGAACAAAUUCUAAAAUUCAAAUAAUACAGAGAAGAUCAGCCUGGUUUCUGCGCAAGGAUGACACACAAAUUCGUGAAGCGUUCCAAAAUUUU